rnacentral:rRNA from 1 species
CGGGAGUAACAACCUGGAAACAGACGCUAAUACCGGAUAACAACAGAUGAUGCCUAUCAACUGUUUAAAAGAUGGUUCUGCUAUCACUCUUGGAUGGACCUGCGGUGCAUUAGCUAGUUGGUAGGGUAACGGCCUACCAAGGCGAUGAUGCAUAGCCGAGUUGAGAGACUGAUCGGCCACAUUGGGACUGAGACACGGCCCAAACUCCUACGGGAGGCAGCAGGC